rnacentral:rRNA from 1 species
UCGAGAAUUUUUCUCAAUGGGGGAAACCCUGAAGGAGCGACGCCGCGUGGAGGAUGAAGGUCUUCGGAUUGUAAACUCCUGUCAUGAGAGAGUAAGGCAUCUCGUUAACUGCGAGCGUGCUUGAUAGUAUCUCAAGAGGAAGGGACGGCUAACUCUGUGCCAGCAGCCGCGGUAAUACAGAGGUCCCGAGCGUUGUUCGGAUUCAUUGGGCGUAAAGGGUGCGUAGGCGGUUAGGUAAGUCAGAUGUGAAAUUCCAGGGCUCAACCUUGGAACUGCAUUUGAUACUGCUUGACUAGAGUACUGGAGAGGAGACUGGAAUUCACGGUGUAGCAGUGAAAUGCGUAGAUAUCGUGAGGAAGGCCAGUGGCGAAGGCGAGUCUCUGGACAGUUACUGACGCUGAGGCACGAAGGCUAGGGGAGCAAACGGG